UGGGAUGUAAUGACUUAGGGUUAAUGUGG
rnacentral:piRNA from 1 species